AUUGAACGCUGGCGGCAGGCCUAACACAUGCAAGUCGAACGAGUGGCGGACGGGUGAGUAAUGUCUGGGAAACUGCCCGAUGGAGGGGGAUAACUACUGGAAACGGUAGCUAAUACCGCAUACCAUCGGAUGUGCCCAGAUGGGAUUAGCUUGUAGGUGAGGUAACGGCUCAACUAGGCGACGAUCACUAGCUGGUCUGAGAGGCUGACCAGACCUACUGGAACUGAGACACGGUGCAGACUCCUACUGGAGGCAGCAGUGGGGAAUAUUGGACAAUGGGCGCAAGCCUGAUGCAGCCAUGCCGCGGGUAUGAAGAAGUCUUUCGAGUUGUAAAGUACUUUCAGCGGGGAGGCGUUACCCGCAGAAGAAGCACCGGCUAACUCCGGGCCAGCAGCCGCGGUAAUAC
rnacentral:rRNA from 1 species